rnacentral:rRNA from 1 species
CCUACGGGCGGCUGCAGUGGGGAAUAUUGGACAAUGGGCGAAAGCCUGAUCCAGCCAUGCCGCGUGUGUGAAGAAGGCCUUCGGGUUGUAAAGCACUUUCAGUGGGGAAGAAAGCCCUGGGGCUAAUACCCUCGAGGAAGGACAUCACCCACAGAAGAAGCACCGGCUAACUCCGUGCCAGCAGCCGCGGUAAUACGGAGGGUGCGAGCGUUAAUCGGAAUUACUGGGCGUAAAGCGCGCGUAGGCGGUCUGAUAAGCCGGUUGUGAAAGCCCCGGGCUCAACCUGGGAACGGCAUCCGGAACUGUCAGGCUAGAGUGCAGGAGAGGAAGGUAGAAUUCCCGGUGUAGCGGUGAAAUGCGUAGAGAUCGGGAGGAAUACCAGUGGCGAAGGCGGCCUUCUGGACUGACACUGACGCUGAGGUGCGAAAGCGUGGGUAGCAAACAGGAUUAGAUACCCGGGUAGUC